UACGUAGGUGGCGAGCGUUGUCCGGAAUUACUGGGUGUAAAGGGCGCGUAGGCGGGUGCCUAAGUCAGACGUGAAAUGUCGAGGCUCAACCUCGGAACUGCGUUUGAAACUGGGUGUCUUGAGUGCCGGAGAGGGAAGCGGAAUUCCUAGUGUAGCGGUGAAAUGCGUAGAUAUUAGGAGGAACACCAGUGGCGAAGGCGGCUUUCUGGACGGUAACUGACGCUGAGGCGCGAAAGCGUGGGGAGCAAACAGG
rnacentral:rRNA from 1 species